CAGGUCUCCUUAGGAAUUUCAGUUCUGCUAGGUGGGGGGAAGUCAAUCCAACGAUCUUUUUACUCUCAUGGCUUUACAUGUGAGGGUCAGACUGUCCAUCUCUUCGAUUACUUGCCCCAAAUUAGACAAUCUCUUCUUCGAAUUGAAAUUGUCAAUAAUUGUUCUAAUGGUGUUAAUGUUGAAAGCUGUUCUGUGAAAGAGUUGGUUACCAGACUGUGGUGCUGGGAGUUGAUUUACAACAUCCUGCCUUUCUGUGGAAUUCGGCUCAUGUUUCAACCAGGCUCCCGAUCGAAUCUUUAAUUUGUCUGGUUCACGCUACACACAUUAUUUUCAUUAUUUUUACACAUAUAUUUUAUUCUUAUAUUUUUAUUGUUUACUUUUAUUUCAUUCUUUCAUAGCUAUAUUUAUGUAUAUUUUCAUCUGUGUUGUAUUCUUUAAUAAUUGCACUGUCCAUGGAGCGGACCUGACUCACAUUUCACUGCUGGUUAUAUAUGCUCUAUAUAAUUGUGUAUGUGACAAAUAAAAAUCUUGAAUCUUGAGCUGAUAGCGACAGCACUGAAUUAGUGGUACAUCAAUACAGGUGUGUAUAAGACAGCACAUGUGAGGCAAGCGACAACACAUCUAGGUUAUAAAACCUCGCGAAAGUGCUGGUUGACGACUAGCCUGCUGCCAUGCAAAUGUCCUGAAUAGAUAUGCCAUUUCCCCAGGCCCACGAGGACGCAAGUCCGCUGGUUAAGUAGGCCCAAAACCCUAUAGGACAUUUCACAUCCUUAGAGCCAUAAGCCAAAGCAAUUGCGUGGACGAUCCGGUGUGACAGCCUUUGCUUGGACACAGGCAGGCAUUUGUGUGCCCUCAAAAGCAUACAACUAGCUGCGGUCGACGUGAUUUUACCAAGACAUGUUCCUGGAUCAACAACUCUGUUGAUCCUGGAUUGACAUUACUGUCCAGAAAUAUAGACCUAACCCAAUCCCUACCCCUAAACCUAACCCUACCCAUAAUUUAUUCCUAAAAUCAGUGGGAAAUGAUGGUAAAUAACAAGGGGGUAGAAGCAUCUAACCUUGAUUGUAAGCCUAAAACAGACAUUUUUUAAAAAACUUAUCCCUCAGUUCUGAUUGGUUGAUUGGAAUGUUGUUCCAGGAUCAUCAAGAAUGUUGAUCCAGGAACAUGUUGUACUUGGUGAAAUCAUGUUCACCAACUAGCUGCUCCAAGAGCUUGAACUGUCUAGAGCGCUUGGUAUAAAUAUGCACCACACGUACAGGGCACAGCAAAGUGUAUUGAGCGGCUCUAGCCUGGCCAGUGUUUCAGGACGGAAAGCAGAUAGUGAUAUCACCUGCACUUUAAAUGGAGUCAAAAGCACUUUAGCCACAUAACCCUUCCU
ensembl:lncRNA